GAUUUUAUAUAUAAAAGCUUCUGUCCAUUAAGGAACAAAAUGUUCCUUAAUGGACAGAAGCUUUUAUAUA